CCUACGGGCGGCUGCAGUGGGGAAUAUUGCACAAUGGGGGAAACCCUGAUGCAGCGACGCCGCGUGAGUGAAGACGGAUUUCGGUAUGUAAAGCUCUAUCAGCAGGAACGAGACAAGACGGUACCUGACUAAGAAGCCCCGGCUAACUACGUGCCAGCAGCCGCGGUAAUUCGUAGGGGGCAAGCGUUAUCCGGAAUCACUGGGUGUAAAGGGAGUGUAGACGGCUGAGCAAGCCUGGAGUGAAAGGCGGGGGCACAACCCCCGCACUGCUGGGGGAACUGGACGGCUGGAGUGCAGGGGAGGUAAGUGGAAUUCGUGGUGUAGCGGUGAAAUGCUUAGAUAUUAGGAGGAACACCAGUGGCGAAGGCGGCUUACUGGACUGUAACUGACGUUGAGGCUCGAAAGCGUGGGGAGCAAACAGGAUUAGAUACCCUUGUAGUC
rnacentral:rRNA from 1 species